CUUCUUACAAACUGAUUAAAACGCGACAGAUUAAAAUGCAACAGACCUGAAGCAAUGCACUCGGUGCCCAUGGGAUUCACGGAUCUUCCCAUAGGUCCUACCAGCCAGAAGCAGCAUGCCUGAUUGAUAGAACAGUGGAAUGGCCCAAUGAAGGUUAUGCAACUGAGCCUGUUGAGAUCUCAUGACAUGUGAGGAUGGAGUGCUCUUUUACAAAGUACUGUGUCUAUUAUGAAGCACAUUCAAUAGGAGCUGAUUCUUGUAUGGCCAGAAUACUUGGGUUUGGGAACCAAGGGAUAAGAGUGGGACUGGCUUCAUUUACUAUUGCACGUAGUGAUCCACACCCAAUAAAGUUCUGCUUCUUACCACUGCAACUUUGAGCUCUGGAAGUUUAGAGACCUUAGUUCCCAAGGGAAGAAUGUCUCUACCAGGGAAUACGAUGGUUUAUUGCAUGGAGAGUUGAGACUGCCACCUGGACAUUUGGAGUUCAUUACACCACUAAGCCAAUAGGCAAAGGGGAAGGUUAGUGUCCUGGCUGAGAAGACUGACCCCUAAUAUCAAAGAACAGAGAUUUGCUCCACACAUGGGGACAAGGAGGAAUAUGUCUGAAAUCCAUUACAUCCUUUGAAGAUGCUCUUUCUAUUUCAUUGUCCAAAGGGAGAAAUCAGUGGAAAACUAUAGCAACGCCAUACAGGAAAAACCAUCAAGCGCUCAGAAAUGAAUGGUCACCCCAACAAAUAAAGAACAACGAUCAGCUGAGGUUCAAAUUGGAAGAAGGCCAACUGUGGCCUCAGGAUCAGUUGCAGACUUGAGAACAAUUGCAGCGGCCUGGAUUUUCAUGAUGUUUUAUGUAUUUGUAUAUACCAAUUUCUGUUUUUUCCUUCUUUUCCCCAAGUGUUCACAUUGGUUACAUUUAUUACUGAUCUUUAGGAUAUAAGAUUGUGGUGGCCAUGGAGGUGUACCACCCAGAUCUACUUCAAAAGAACCUGCUGUGGGAAGCAUAGUUGAUGACGGCCUUCAGCUACUGCUCCUCCAGAUCCAUCAUAGCUGUCACACUAACACUGCAUUUCUACGGAGUAUACCCAGCCAAUGGCUGAGAGUGGCAGGGUUCAACUUUUCUUGAACCAUUACUGCUCAACCUGGCACCCUUUGCUCAGGAAUUCUCAUCAACCUGGUCCAGACUUACUCAGACUUGCAAUGGGGUCUGAAGAUGCUCUGCCUCCUCCUGUUCCCAAGAUCCUUUAUCCUUGCCAGGCAUUUCCACCAAUAAAUCUCUUUCAUGUAUAAGUCAGUCUUGGCAUCGGCUCUUGGAGGACCCAAACUGACGGGGAUGUGAAGCUGAGAUUGUGAUUAAACAAUCUCACUCAAAGAUGGAUAUGAUGAUUUUAUGAGACUUUUCAGAGAGGAACAGAGUGUUCUGUUUGCAUAGAGAAUAGUCACAUUGUGUUAGGAGCAUGCUGUUACUAUUCUUGUUUUCUAGAAAUUUUAAUAAGGUUGUAUGCAUACAGUGAGCAGCCAAAGUGGUAGGCUUCCUAGAUCGUGUCUCAAUAGGCACUGAAAUCCAAUUCCCCUAAAUCCUAAUUCCAUUUUUCUGUGUCAUGUUGCAGCUGCCUCACUCUAGUAUUCUGGAUGUGAUUUGGGGUCCAAUGAGAUGCACUUACUAAUAUCUGCAGUGUACAAUGCAGGCAGCAGCAGCGCCAGCUAAAGCUGAGCUCUGGUAGAGUUGGAUUGGAUGUUUACAGUGACCUACCUCUUCAGUGUGAUAUUUCCUCACGGUCAUCAGCUACAGGCUGUGAGACAGCCUGGGGGAGACAGGAUAGCCAUGUUUCCCACUACCUCCCAACCACUGGCUGGUGCACCAGCCUCCUGGCCUUAGGUCGCAGCCACAGUGACGUGACCUCCUACAAUCCCUGGCAAGCUGGAGGAGCAGCCCUGCAACCAAGCCUGCUCUAAGAUAAGGCUUUCUGUUUACUAACCUGGAGCUGCUCUAUUCUUUCACCCUUGUUCCCCUUUCAGCUGUCUCGCGCAAGUACUAAUUUUGCCAUUAAAUACGCAUUUUGUUUUGCAAAAUGAGAAGAGCUUAUAAAUACUUCAAAUUUUCUCCGUCUGUUUCACUCCUUUCCAUUUCUUUCUAAAAUUACAGUAAAAUAUUAACUAUACAAAAUAUUGUUGUAUUUAUACAAAACAACAAUACCAUAAAAUAAAACACUACAUAGUUGAAGCCCUCUGAGGAUCUCUCCAUUUCUUCCAGCCAUAACGAAUACCCUGAACUUUACGUUUCUUUUCCCUUUGCGGUUGCUUAAUUUUUCUACAUCUGAAUAUAUCCUUACACGUUUUUAAAAUUUAUAGAAAUAUCACACUGAAUACAUUUUUCUGUAACUUGCCUUUGCACUGCAUUGUGAGAUUCAGCUAUGUUGAUCUGUUUAACUCCAGCUGAUGUAUGUAAUGAUCCCUGAUGAUUAUUCUGUCGUUUGACUAUACCAAAAUUUAUUCAGGUCUCUGAUAAUGAGCAUUUAGAUUGGUUUGUUUUCCAUUUAUGAAUUUAGCAAUUAUGUGUUUCUAAUUUUUUGUUAUUAUAAACUAUGGUGCUACGAAUAUUCCUGUAUAUGCCACCUUCAAAAUUGUAAAAUUUCAACUGUUUUAAAAUACAGUCAUGUCAGGAUACAUUCUGAGAAAUGUAUCAUUGGGCAAUUUCAUUGCUAGGCACACAUCAAUGUAUGCAAAUCUAGAUGGCAUAGCCUACUACACACCUAGACCACAUGGCGUAGUGUGUUGCUCUGACCACCAUCAUAUAUGUAGUUCGUCAUUGACCAAAAUGGCAUUCUCCGGCACGUCUGUAUUAAAAUUUUUUAGUGGAAAACCA
ensembl:lncRNA novel transcript